AGAAAUCUUUUGACAUACUUCCAAGUAAAAUCUUAAAGAAAAUCGUCUAAAAAAUAAAAUGGCUAAGCUUUUAUUGUUUCUUUCCCUAACUCUUUUGGCGUUUACUUAUGUCAUGGCUUGUUCACCACCAGGUAUGCCUUGUACCGAUAAUAGUCAAUGUUGUGCCCCAUACGUAUGCAAUCCUUGGGCUAAUCGUUGCACAAAAGGUGGAAGCUGGCCACCACCAGGGGCUAACACUGAGCCCAGCGAAUGAUUAACAUGAGCUAUUUGGCAUAUUUACAUUAUUUCGUAGGCCUACGAUCAAAUGUACACUUUUUCCUAAUUCAUCGUAUAUGAUGAUUUCUGUAACUUCUUAUUAUUUGCUUCAAAAAUACAUAUGCAUUAUUAAAAUUAA